AAGUCGUAACAAGGUUUCCGUAGGUGAACCUGCGGAAGGAUCAUUACCGAGUUCUCGGGCUUCGGCUCGAAUCUCCCACCCUUUGUGAACAUACCUCUGUUGCUUUGGCGGCUCUUGCCGCGAGGGGGCCCUCAAAGGCCCUCCCGCGCGCUCUCCGCCAGAGGACCUUCAAACUCCAGUCAGUGAACGUCGACGUCUGAUACACAAGUUAAUAAACUAAAACUUUCAACAACGGAUCUCUUGGUUCUG
rnacentral:misc_RNA from 1 species